rnacentral:rRNA from 1 species
AUUGAACGCUGGCGGCAUGCCUUACACAUGCAAGUCGAACGGCAGCACGGGUGCUUGCACCUGGUGGCGAGUGGCGAACGGGUGAGUAAUACAUCGGAACGUACCUUAUCGUGGGGGAUAACGCAGCGAAAGCUGUGCUACUACCGCAUACUCCCUGAGGGGGCAAGCGGGGGAUCGCAAGACCUCGCGCGAUUAGAGCGGCCGAUGCCUGAUUAGCUUGGUGGUGGGGUAAAAGCCCACCAAGGCGACGAUCAGUAGCUGGUCUGAGAGGACGAUCAGCCACACUGGGACUGAGAGACGGCCCGGACGCCUACGGGAGUCAGCAGUGGGGAAUUUUGGACAAGGGGGGCGACCCUGAUCCAGCAAUGCCGCGUGAGUGAAGAAGGCCUUCGGGUUGUAAAGCUCUUUUGGCAGGGAAGAAACACCGGCUCUAACACAGUCCGGGAAUGACGGUACCUGAAGAAUAAGCACCGGCUAACUACGUGCCAGCAGCCGCCGUAA